AGCCCAAAUUUGAAGUAGGAUAGAUUAGAGGGAACAUCUGACCCUACUAAAUUACUCUACUUCGAGUUUGUGCCC
rnacentral:pre_miRNA from 1 species